AACGAACGCUGGCGGCAGGCCUAACACAUGCAAGUCGAACGCCGUAGCAAUACGGAGUGGCAGACGGGUGAGUAACGCGUGGGAACAUACCCCUCGGUUCGGAAUAACUUAGGGAAACUUGAGCUAAUACCGGAUACGUCCGAGGUUUUAACCGGCCUCGGAGAAAGAUUUAUCGCCGGAGGAUUGGCCCGCGUCUGAUUAGCUUGUUGGUGAGGUAAUGGCUCACCAAGGCGACGAUCAGAGCUGGUCUGAGAGGAUGAUCAGCCACAUU
rnacentral:rRNA from 1 species